GACGAACGCUGGCGGCGUGCUUAACACAUGCAAGCCGAGCGAUGAAGUUCCUUCGGGAAUGGAUUAGCGGCGGACGGGUGAGUAACACGUGGGUAACCUGCCUCAUAGAGGGGAAUAGCCUUUCGAAAGGAAGAUUAAUACCGCAUAAGAUUGUAGUUUCGCAUGAAACAGCAAUUAAAGGAGUAAUCCGCUAUGAGAUGGACCCGCGUCGCAUUAGCUAGUUGGUGAGGUAACGGCUCACCAAGGCGACGAUGCGUAGCCGACCUGAGAGGGUGAUCGGCCACAUUGGGACUGAGACACGGCCCAGACUCCUACGGGAGGCAGCAGUGGGGAAUAUGCACAAUGGGGGAAACCCUGAUGCAGCAACGCCGCGUGAGUGAUGACGGUCUUCGGAUUGUAAAACUCUGUCUUCAGGGACGAUAAUGACGGUACCUGAGGAGGAAGCCACGGCUAACUACGUGCCAGCCGCCGCGGUAA
rnacentral:rRNA from 1 species